rnacentral:rRNA from 1 species
UACGUAGGUGGCAAGCGUUGUCCGGAAUUACUGGGCGUAAAGGGCGCGCAGGCGGCUUGUUAAGUCAGGGGUGAAAUCCUGGAGCUCAACUCCAGAACUGCCUUUGAUACUGGCGAGCUUGAGUUCGGGAGAGGUGAGUGGAACUGCGAGUGUAGAGGUGAAAUUCGUAGAUAUUCGGAAGAACACCAGUGGCGAAGGCGGCUCACUGGCCCGUUACCGACGCUCAGGCGCGACAGCGUGGGGAGCAAACAGG